rnacentral:rRNA from 1 species
UUGCCUAACACAUGMAAGUCGAACGGUUCSGCUCGUCCGGACAGUGGCGAACGGCUGAGUAACACGUGAGCAACCUGCCUCUAAGUGGGGGAUAACUCSGGAAACUGGAGCUAAUACCGCAUGUGGUAGUAAGGCGAAGGCCUUACUAAGAAAGCCGCAAGGCGCUUAGAGAGGGGCUUGCGUCCUAUCAGGUAGUUGGUGAGGUAAUGGCCCACCAAGCCUAUGACGGGUAGCUGGUCUGAGAGGAUGACCAGCCAGACGGGGACUGAGACACGGCCCCGACUCCUACGGGGGGCAGCAGCAAGGGAUUUUGGGCAAUGGGCGAAAGCCUGACCCAGCGACACCGCGUGGGGGAUGAAGGCCUUCGGGUUGUAAACCCCUUUUCUCAGGGAAGAAUAAUKACGGUACCUGAGGAAUAAGCCUYGGCUAACUACGUGCCAGCAGCCGCGGUAAYAMGGCNAUUGUU